GAGAGAGGCUUGCUAGCAACGAAGACUGCUAAUCUUCGCCCCCCUCGGUUGGACUCCGAAGCUCACUCG
rnacentral:tRNA from 2 species